GAUAAACGCUGGCGGCGUGCCUAACACAUGCAAGUCGAACGUCCUCUUGUUUUUCGGAACGAGAGGGAGUGGCGGACGGGUGAGUAACACAUGGGUGACCUGGCCUGAAGUGAGGGAUACCGGCGAGAAAUCGCCGACAAGCCCGCAUGGGUUCUCUGCGGUGGAGCGCAGGGAGCAAAGUUUUUCUUUCUUGUGAGAGAGAGACGCUUUGGGAUGGGCCUGUGGCCGAUUAGCUAGUUGGUGGGGUAAGAGCCUCCCAAGGCGACGAUC
rnacentral:rRNA from 1 species